GACAGAGGUGCCAAGCGUUAUUCGGAAUCACUGGGCUUAAAGCGUGUGUAGGCGGACUUCUAAGUACCUUGUGAAAUCCCACGGCUUAACCGUGGAACUGCUUGGUAUACUGGUCGUCUUGAGCCACUUAGGGGUUACCGGAGCAAAUGGUGGAGCGGUGAAAUGCGUAGAUAUCAUUUGGAACGCCAAUGGUGAAAACAGGUAACUGGGAGUGUGCUGACGCUGAGACACGAAAGCCAGGGGAGCAAACGGG
rnacentral:rRNA from 1 species